rnacentral:rRNA from 1 species
UACAGAGACUGCAAGCGUUAUUCGGAUUCACUGGGCGUAAAGGGUGCGCAGGCGGCCGCGCGUGGUGGGGAGUGAAAUCCGCUGGCUCAACCGGCGGGGGGCUUUCCAAACGGCGGGGCUUGAGAGGGGGAGAGGGGCGUGGAAUUCCGGGUGGAGCGGUGAAAUGCGUAGAGAUCCGGAGGAACACCGACGGCGCAGGCAGCGCCCUGGCCGUCUUCUGACGCUGAGGCCCGAAAGCUGGGGGAGCAAACAGG